AGCUUAGGAAGGAAACACCUGAGUUACAGCAAAGUUGAAGCUGUAGUAAUGUGCAAGGGAGACAAAGCCACAGACUGCUCCGAGCCCUAAGGAGUAUUACAGACUUCGAGGUGGAGUGGGAUGAAGAUCCUGGUGGGAGCCACAGCAGGGAGGGGACAACAGCGGUGCUUGCAAGUACCUCCCAGCACAAGCUGCCAACUCUCUGGACUUCAUGAAGGGGAGUCCAACCUCGUAGUCCUGUUCCUUGGGAGACACCCACAGCCCAGCACUGUUCCCAGAGCCAUGUUAUUGCCUUUGAGAGCCCCGUGAACAGCCACUGACAAAGCAAGGCGAAUUUCCUCCAGUUGCUGCCUGCCAUACAACAGUAGUCUUAGUCACUGGUACGAGAAGAGCCAUAAUAGCAAAAGGCUAUUAUGAAGCCUUCAAUCUGAGGAUGUUUUACUGCAGUCAGAAGUUCUGUAGGGAAUAGACUAUAAUAGAAGUGUGCCAAGAAAUAGGCCAGGAGUGCUUUUAAAAGAGACUCUCACCGCUGUGAGAAAUGCCCUUGAAUUAGGCUGUGCCGGCCAGAAGGGUGGAGGACACUUGCGAUACGGUCCUGCCAGAGUCCAAAAGUCAAUGGAAUAUUGCAUUUGCCUCUCAAGGCUACAUGCAAAAGGAAGUUGCUUUGCUAUGGUGACACAGCACAUGCAGACUCCUUCCCUUCCACCUCUCACUAGCUUGCUUACAUCUGUAAGCAGCAGAGUUGCUCCCAAGAAGGGAUCAUAAGCAAGCAGUCUCUAUGCCACCCCUGCGAGGAAUGGGUUUUCCACAGGGGCAGCGUACCUGGCACACUCCUCUCGUGCUUUGGAUGACACUGUUUCCUGGAAGAGGGAGCCACUCUGCUUGAAAAACGGCUCAUACUUCUCUGUUCCACGUGCUGGAUAAAUGCGCCGGUAACCGCC